GGUGAUUGAAAAUAAUAUUUGGUGUGUGUAUAAAGAGGCUAUGGAUUAUGUUUUACUACAUGAUUAUGAUAAUGAGUGUAGGAAGUGUGCUAAAAUUGUUGCUAUUUAAAUAAAUUGUGAUUAAGAAUUUAUCUUGGAUUGUAGAGUAAAUAAUAUAAAUAGGGUCCAUGCAUGAUGGACAAGUGCCAGCAAUGUAUUUAAUUGCAUGACACAUAAGGAUGCUGUUGCUUGGUAUAGUGAUAAAGUUUGCGUGAGUAAUUAUGAUGAGUUACACGUGCCUAGGGGGAGUAUUAUUAAAGGUAUCUACUUUUUAUUUUCUUUGUCCCUUUUUUUAUAAAAUAUGGGCUGCUACACAUGUUCUACGUUGGGGGCCUUCCCUUUAAGGUUGUAAAGCAAAACCAAUAUACAACAGCCUCUCAAUUGAGUUCUUACAACAUUCAAAUAAAUAAAUAAAUAAAUCCACAUGAGAAUAACGCAUAUCUCCCUCUCGGAAUGCCCGUGAUGCUAGUUAGCUUGAUUAUCUCAUUGUGAUUGUAAAGUAGAAGUUGUUCAAAGGGGAAGGAGGAUUUGGAAGGGCCGGCUCUGGUUAUCAAAGACCUGCGAGCUCGAGAAGUAGACGUUGGACAUUAGAUAGAGUUCAAGGUAGACAGGGAGGUGAGCUUGAUCCAGAUUCUUAGUAGCUGUCAGCUGAUUGAGAGCACUCCAUUGUUCGGAGGUGCUUAUGUUUAUUCUUUUGGUUCAUAUAUGUAUUUCGCGCACGACGGAGUCUUGUUCCGUCUACAUGUAUAAUAUGUCAGUAGAGGAUCGUAGACGCGCAAUGUGGGUUAGAUGGUCUCACAAGAUUACUAUGUCAUAUUCGUAUAUGUUAUUUUGAUGGCCUAAGGGGCACAUGUAUAUAAAAUCAUUUGUGUUGCCAAAUGAAAAAUGGUUAUCUUAUGAUUAUGAGAUUAUGAAUGAUAAAGAAAUGUAAAAUGGUUAUGACGAGUGAGGAAACGAGCGGUGUUCGGU